UAUGGUUUCGUAUGGUUUCUUAGUAUUUAGCUAUUACCCAUAUCCAAAUUCUUGUGGUUGAUGUACUUCUAAAUCCCAAUAAAUGAAGUGCGAGACUUCUACUAUAUCUUUGCAUACAAACUGUUUGUUAGAAUGUCUCUGAGAGUACUAAACCUUUAAGAUGUUCUUUGUAUUUAUCUUGAAUCAUAACUUAUCAUUUCCCUUUAGUUUAUAUUUCACAAAGAUUCAGUUUUUAUUCAGACUUCAGUGAAUCACAGGUUCUUAAUCCAGUUUUUUUUUUUUAUUAUUUGCUUAAACGCAGGCUGCAGUCUGAAUUGAUGGGCUUGAUGAUGGGCGUGGUGGUCCAGGGAUAUCUGCGUUUCCAAAGGAAGACAACAUCUUCUGCUGGAAAGGGACGAUAACAGGAAGCUAUUGGCAGGGAGUAUG